GGCGGACAGACUUAGACCACACAAACUCAGUUCAGUGUGAUGUCAUGACAGGUUGUGAUGGGGACAUGAAGAAUCUGCAUGUGCCCCUGUACAGUACAUUGGUAAACAUGUCCCUGAAAACGUGACACUUAAGGUGAGCUUUGUAGAAUAAAUAGGAAAUAGCGAGGCAGAGACAGCAAAGUAAGGCAUUGCAGGAGCAGAAAAAUAAAUGCAAAAGACAAAGACUGGAAAACAAAAAAAGGUUGGGAAUUAAUUGCAGCUAAGACAACAUGACCAUAACACACUACUCAAGGAAGAGAAUGAUCAAGAAUAAAGCUGCAGUCAGGCAGUAAAAUACAGCUGUCAGAUUACCCACUUAAGUGAUAAACACUGCAUGACUCCUACACCACUUAAAAUGAGUUUUAACACACGCUCUGCAGCAAAAAUUCUUGAGACUUACAAUCACUGGCCAAUUAGUAUUUAUCAAGGACAGUGAAUGUAAAUAGAAACACAGCCAAAUACCUUUUCACUGUGUACAAAAUAGACGGUGACAACAUGCAACUACUAAUUUCCAGGACGCGCUGAAACAGAUCCAAUGUUAAGAUAAAAAUAAACUAAAAUGAUUUUCCUCUGGUUUGAUUUAGGUAGAUAAUCAAGGCCAUAACAUGCCGAUGUGGAAAAAUGUCCCAACCAUCCCCAGGAAUGAAGAAAACUAAUAGGCAACAAAAUUGUUAAAAAAAAAAAAAAAAAAACCAGCUCUUCUUAGGACAUUCUUUGCUUUCUUUUGGUCUUCCUCUUUCUAUUUAAGCCCUGUAUUGUUGCCCAAUACACCCUAUUUAGGUCUCAUUUUCUUAUCUAUGUCCCACAUACUGAGCCUUUCAGUUUCCUUUUUCUCUUUACUUUAAAAAGCUAUGUCCAAGUGUCAUGCUCUUGAUUGAAGGCAGAAAGACAACAUAAUAAAAGUAACCACUGCUAUUGGGCAACCUCUUCAUUGUGCUGCUCUUCACGGUAAAACAGGCAUCUUAUUGACUCCAGGAGACACUCCAAAAGAUUGCAUCAACCCAAAGGAGAUUUAGGCCUUAGGACAGGACCAAGUGGGAGAGCAAUUUUUGUGGAAGGUGGCCUUGUGAUAUCCCUCAUAUACAACUUUCUUGCUCUCAGCCAAGCCAGCAGGCAAGCCAUAAAGCCAUAGGUGGUAACCAGUCUAGGUUAAGAUAAACUCUCACAGCUUCAAAGAGGAGGAGAGAGAGAAGAGAAGAAAAGCAGUGACUUUAAUUAGGAUAAUUUGUUCUCCAAAGUAUAAACUCUUAUCAGGGCAUAUCACAGCUCUCCUACAUACCACUGCUGGAUUUUUGUUAGCAUAAGAUGAAACAACAAGGGCUUAUGAAUUAUUCUGAGCCAGUGACACAGAAAAUAAGCAGAAAUAGAUGCUGCGGUGUAUUAAAUUGUUAUUUGGGAUAGAGCUGGACAAAGAGGAAUAUGACUUACAAUUAGUGACUACAAAUAUUUUAAAACAUUAAAAGAAAUAGAAUUUUACCCAAAGACGUUUGUUUUCGCUGGGAAGCCUGCCUUUUGCUAAUCAUAUUUACAAAUGUAUAGUGCUAAUCUAAUAUAUGGAUAUCUUGCUUUACAACUCAUGUACUGACAAUUUUAUUGCAUUUACCCAAAUUUCCUUCAAUGCUACAUUUGUAACUCUCUAAAUACUUCAUAUAUAGUGCUAAAGAUCUUGAUAUAACUUUAUGCUCACAAAUACACAAUUUAAAAGUUUAUGUUAUACUAUGGAAUACUGAAACUCCUUGUCACUUAUUUUAUUAACUUAAUAAUGUAAUAAAAACCACAUAUCAUUUAACUGCUUAUAAUGAGCAUAUUUGAAGCUGCAAAGUGAUAUUGCAAAUGGAGAAAAAUAAGCAGCUAAAAAUUCCAGUGCAUAUACUGUCACGUGCCAAAUAACAAUGUUUCUGUCAGCUAUGGACCACAUACACAAUCAUGUUCCCAUAUGUUUAUAAUGGGGCUGAAAAAUUCCCAUUCCUUAGUGACUGAUAGCCAUUGUAAUGUCAUAGCACAAUGCAUAACUGAAAUGCUCGUGGAGAUGUUCGUGCAGGCAAACCUACUGUGCUGCCAGUCAUAUAAAAAGCAUAGUACAUACAAUUACCUACGGUAUAUAAAACUCGAUAGUGAUAAUAAAGUACUAUUUUAUUGGUUUAUGUAUUUACUAUAUUAUGCCUUUUAUUGUUAUUUUAGAGGGUACUAGUUUUACUUAUAAAAAUAAGUUAACCGUAAAACAGCCUCAGGCAGUUUCAUCAGAAGGUAUUCCAGAAGAAGGCAUUGUAUUCAUAGGCGAGGACUGUUCCAUGCUUGUUAUUGUCCCUAAAGAUCUUCCAGUGAGAAAUGUGGCAGUGGAAGACAGUGAAACUGAAGAUCCUGACCUUGUGUAGGUCCAUGCUAAGUUUAUGGACUAAUGUAAAGCAGGAGUCUAACGUAAAGGACGGUGUCUAGGAAUAUGCCAAAGGUAGUUCCAGUUCAGCAUUGUAGAUAGUUACUUGGAUGAAGAUGUUAAUUAUAUCCUGAUCAAAUCUGUUAAUUCCUCUAAAUUGGUGAAAAUGGCUAUUCUGUAUCAAGGACUCAGAAUCCAAGAUGACCUUGACUUUCUGGAACAACAGGCUAACUAAAGGGACUUCACGGCCCCUUGAAGAAGAUCACGGACCCAGUUGUUUAAUGGCUGAACAAAGCACAGAAUGCAUAGACAACUUCCACUGAAGCAAUAAUAAAGCUUAUAUGUAUAACUUUCAGACCAAUUAAGUGUUGCUUAUUUUGGUUACAUCGUCGUUGCUAUCAUAACGAGUUUACUUUUUACCACUGUACAUAAUAGGGUACCUGAAAUGAUCACUCUUAAAGAAAAAAUAUGUAUAGCAAUUUUAGGAAAAGCAACAGACCACUUCUACACUCUGAACCAAGAUAAAAAAAAAUUAUAUCAAGUGCUUCUAUGCUUACCCAUAUGUAACAGGAAAGUUUGACGUUUGUACAAAGACAGUUCUAGUAAGUGGUAGAGAUGUAUGAAAUCAAAUCAAUUCAUUAAAUAGGCAUUUAGUGAAAUUACCAUAGGAGAACUGAUCCUAAAACAUCACUAUUGAUAUGUUAUAAAUGAAGUUCAAAUGAAAGAAAAAAAAAUCUGUCCUAUUUAAAACUCAGCACUGUUUCCAUAGGUUCCAAAUCAAGAUGCCUUCAACCAGUCAU
rnacentral:lncRNA from 10 species